UACGAAGGGGGCUAGCGUUGUUCGGAUUUACUGGGCGUAAAGCGCACGUAGGCGGAUAUUUAAGUCAGGGGUGAAAUCCCGGGGCUCAACCCCGGAACUGCCUUUGAUACUGGGUAUCUCGAGUCCGAGAGAGGUGAGUGGAAUUCCGAGUGUAGAGGUGAAAUUCGUAGAUAUUCGGAGGAACACCAGUGGCGAAGGCGGCUCACUGGCUCGGUACUGACGCUGAGGUGCGAAAGCGUGGGGAGCAAACAGG
rnacentral:rRNA from 1 species